UGACUUUCCAACUUCUUUUUUUUCUUAUUAGCUUUUUUCUCUACCUCAUACACUAUGUAUAUUUCUCUGUUGGCUAGCUCUAAUACCAGAAUAGUUCUUGAAGUGUAGAGGGUUUUAAGCAUUACUGCCGUGUGUGUGUGUGUGUGUGUGUGUGUGUGUCUAUGUGUCUGUGUCUGUGUGUGCGGUUUUGAACCAUGAUCCUCAGAUCUCAGCCACUUGAGUAGCCAUUAGCCCUUGGCUCAUUACUGACUUCUCAAAACAGUGCCUAGCCUACUGCUGAGUGGUGGCGUUAAUUAGGCAAGUGUAGUCUAGCACUAUGGUAAAUAUCAGAGUAGGUAUCAAACGUUGUUCCUACCUCUGAGGAACAUGAAGCCCAGCCUGGAGAGUAGGAGAAUAGAUUCUUCUGGCAGUUCUUCUGUGAAGUUAAAAGAGAUGAGGAGGUAGAAAAAGGAAAGGGUAUUUUAUUUUCUCACUGCCUGGAUAUCCCUGAAAAUGUUGUGACACAAGAAGGCUGUGUUAUUUCCAUGUGGCUUUUUCCUACAAGCUGAAAAAUCUCUGUUAAGCCUUAAGGUUUUUUUAAGGCAGGGAUUAUGUACCCCUUGGGUUACCCAGACCCCACACAAGGGAUUGUGGUGAGGGUAGAAGCAAUAGGUCCACUUGCCCUUGUUUUCAGAGUUUAAAAUCAAGUUUAAGUUCUCAUCAGGGGUUUUAGAUACCUUUGUAGUUGACAGCAAGAAGAAAUGCAAUGUCAGAUGUCAGUACCUACACUUACCACGCUCAUUGAGGCAUAUAGGAAGCUUCCCGGGGUUUCAGUUAGACUAAAAGAACUCCAGAGUGGACCUGCAGUAUUUUACAUAAAUAAAAGCUCCCCUUGGCAAAACAUAUUUCUUUCCAAGUUCCUCUGGGUAUAUAUGGGCUUGUUAAGUAAUUAUAACCUAUUCUAAUGCUAAUUAGCUGAGCUGCACCUGUUUGAAAUUCAGUUUUCUGACAGGAACAUGUGAGGUGGCCACUAAUCUGUAUUGCAUUGGGAGCACUGAGAGGACAGGAAUACACUGUGUCACUGUCACAACAAAAUUCCAAAAGAGAAACUCAAGUCUAUCACCAAACAAACCCAAGUGCCCCACUUGAGGCCUUCUACCUCACCUUGAAGUGUCCCAGAGGUUGUUUUAAGCUAGUGAAAGUUACUUUGAUUUACAAAUGAGGAGUAUAAUUCACUGACUCCCUGACCUUCAGAGCUAUUUAUGACUGGAAAGGUAAUCAGUUAGGCUCAAGAAGGGGUUGGAAAAAUCAAAUUGGGUGAGUUUAAAUAUUGAAGAAAAGCAUGGUCUUUGAUUAUGCUCAUGUCUAUCUUGACUAUUUGUUUUCUCAUAUCCAGCAUAUCUUAGUACAACCUCCUUUCCCUCAGCAGUUAGGCAUCCUGUAAUCAGGCAGUAUAUUUCCUUCUCCCUUGCUGGCUCUCCAAUCGGGGUGUAGGCUGCUCAAGAAGUCCGUAUGACCCAUUCACUUAUUGGUUGAUUGAAUAAAAGGCUGUCUUUCCCAGUUCUGUCUUGCAGAGCUCAAUUAGGCAGCAUUCUCUAGUUCAGCUAACUUGGAUUGUGUUCUUAGACAUUCAUCAGCUGGUACAGUGUUGGAAAGGAAGAUGGUGGGCUACACAAAGAUGCUAAGCUGUGGCCCAAGUGAUAAGUGAUAUAUUCAUUCAGUUUGCUCACCAUUCUUUGUUUCAUCCAGCAAAUAUUUAUUGAAUACUUUUUGAGCCAGGCACCAUGUUGUGUGAGUGAGCAGAUUGCCUAAUAGGAGAAAUGACAUUAAUCAAGGAGUAUCAGAAAUACACCAGUGGAGAAGAAUAGCCUUAUCACAGUCCUUUCAAAGCCUGGCAAAGUCCUUUCAAAACCUCUUCUGAGUUGGAUUGGCUAAUAGUCUUCUUCUUAGACUGGAAAAGAAUGACCAAUCAAGGUGACUUCUUUAAAUCAGUAGUGUUGGACCUUAUCUUCUCCAUCUCUGAAAUAGGCAGUUAGCAUGAUUCAGAUGUCCUGUUAGGCUCCAUUAACAAGGAUUCUGGUUCUACUCUCUGUACUCCACAUUUUGGGCUUUGACUAUACGCAAUCUAGCACUUGAUAUUUUUUUAAAUUUUCACUGAAGCUGCCUGUGUGCUCCAUAAAAUUGCCAUCUUCUGUCCUCCCCUUUAUCUUUCUCUGUUGUUGCAAUCAAAAUCAAAAAACUGUUUUUGAUAGCUUGCUUCUUUGCCUAGUGCACACAGUCCACAAAAAGUAAACUGGAAAAA